rnacentral:rRNA from 1 species
AAACUACAAAGGAAUUGACGGGACCCGCACAAGCGGUGGAUGAUGUGGUUUAAUUCGAUGCAACGCGAAAACCUUACCUACCUUUGACAUGUACGGAACUCGCCAGAGAUGGCUUGGUGCUCGAAAGAGAACCGUAACACAGGUGCUGCAUGGCUGUCGUCAGCUCGUGUCGUGAGAUGUUGGGUUAAGUCCCGCAACGAGCGCAACCCUUGUCAUUAGUUGCUACAUUUAGUUAGGCACUCUAAUGAGACUGCCGGUGACAAACCGGAGGAAGGUGGGGAUGACGUCAAGUCCUCAUGGCCCUUAUAGGUAGGGUUACACACGUCAUACAAUGGCUGGUACAAAGGGUUGCCAACCCGCGAGGGGGAGCUAAUCCCAUAAAGCCAGUCGUAGUCCGGAUCGCAGUCUGCAACUCGACUGCGUGAAGUCGGAAUCGCUAGUAAUCGUGGAUCAGAAUGUCACGGUGAAUACGUUCCCGGGUCUU